rnacentral:rRNA from 1 species
CCUACGUGUGGCAGCAGUGAGGAAUAUUGGUCAAUGGCCGGAAGGCUGAACCAGCCAAGCCGCGUGAAGGACGAAGGUGCCACGCCUUGUAAACUUCUUUUGUCAAGGGACAAAAUCAGGCUCGAGAGCCUGACCGCGGGUACUUGACGAGAAAGCAUCGGCUAACUCCGUGCCAGCAGCCGCGGUACUACGGGGGAUGCGAGCGUUAUCCGGUGUUAUGGGGUUUAAAGGGUGCGUAGGCGGGCUGUUAAGUCAGCGGUAAAAGCCCGGGGCUCAACCCCGGCGAGCCGUUGAAACUGGCUGUCUUGAGAUGUCGAGAGGUAUGCGGAAUGUGCAGUGUAGCGGUGAAAUGCUUAGAUAUUGCGCAGAACUCCGAUUGCGAAGGCAGCAUACCGGCGGCGAUCUGACGCUGAGGCACGAAAGCGUGGGUAUCGAACAGGAUUAGAUACCCCAGUAGUC